rnacentral:tRNA from 1 species
GCCCUUGUAGCUUAAAGGAUAGAGCACCGGUUUCCGGAACCGGUAAUACCAGUUCGAUUCUGGUCAGGGGCA